rnacentral:rRNA from 1 species
AAGCUCGUAGUUGAAUUUCGGGGUUCUACCGUUGGUCGGGCAAUAGUCUGUACUGGCGUGUAGAAUUUCUACCUCCUGGGGAACUAUCAUGUUAUUUAUUUAGCGUGGUAGGAAACCAGGACCUUUACCUUGAAAAAACUAGAGUGUUCAAAGCAGGCUUACGUCUGAAUACAUUAGCAUGGAAUAAUAAAAUAGGACGGUGGUCCUGUUUUGUUGGUUUCUGAAUCACCGUAAUGAUUAAUAGGGAAGUUGGG